rnacentral:rRNA from 1 species
GCGGAGGAACAUGUGGUUUUAAUUCGAUGAUACGCGAGGAACCUUACCGUGGGACUUUAAAUGGGGAGUGACAGCUGUCGAAAGAUGGUUUUCUUCGGACACUCUUCAAGGUGCUGCAUGGUUGUCGUCAGCUCGUGCCGUGAGGUGUCGGGUUAAGUCCCAUAACGAGCGCAACCCUUACCGUUAGUUACCAUCAGGUUAAGCUGGGGACUCUAGCGGGACUGCCACCGUAAGGUGAGAGGAAGGUGGGGAUGACGUCAAAUCAGCACGGCCCUUAUGUCCAGGGCUACACACGUGUUACAAUGGCCGGUACAAAGGGCAGCUACUUCGCGAGAAGAUGCUAAUCUCGAAAGCCGGUCUCAGUUCGGAUCGAAGUCUGCAACCCGACUUCGUGAAGCUGGAUUCGCUAGUAAUCGCGCAUCAGCCAUGGCGCGGUGAAUACGUUCCCGGGCCUU